UCGGAUUGUAGUCUGCAACCCGACUACAUGAAGCCGGAAUCGCUAGUAAUCGCGGAUCAGAAUGCCGCGGUGAAUACGUUCCCGGGUCUUGUACACACCGCCCGUCACACCAUGGGAGUCGGAAAUGCCCGAAGCCGGUGACCCAACCCGAAAGGGAGGGAGCCGUCGAAGGCAGGUCGGAUGACUGGGGUGAAGUCGUAACAAGGUAGC
rnacentral:rRNA from 1 species